AGCUUUGCGCAGUGGCAAUAUCGUAGCCGAUGAGGUCUACCCGAGGCGCAAUUAUUGCUAAUUGAAAAAAAAAAAAGCGCAAUUGUAC
rnacentral:snRNA from 1 species